rnacentral:rRNA from 1 species
UACAGAGGUGCCAAGCGUUAGGCGGAAUCACUGGGCUUAAAGCGCGCGUAGGCGGAUGUUUAAGUGUCUUGUGAAAUCCCACGGCUCAACCGUGGAACUGCUGGGCAUACUGGACGUCUUGAGGCACUCAGGGGCGAGCGGAACAAGUGGUGGAGCGGUGAAAUGCGUAGAUAUCACUUGGAACGCCAAUGGUGAAGACAGCUCGCUGGGGGUGUCCUGACGCUGAGGCGCGAAAGCCAGGGGAGCGAACGGG